rnacentral:rRNA from 1 species
GAUGAACGCUAGCGGGAGGCCUAACACAUGCAAGCCGAGCGGUAGAGUCUCUUCGGCGCCUUGAGAGCGGCGCACGGGUGCGGAACACGUGUGCAACCUGCCUUUAUCUGGGGGAUAGCCUUUCGAAAGGAAGAUUAAUACCCCAUAAUAUACUGGAUGGCAUCAUCUGGUAUUGAAAACUCCGGUGGAUAGAGAUGGGCACGCGCAAGAUUAGAUAGUUGGUGAGGUAACGGCUCACCAAGUCAGCGAUCUUUAGGGGGCCUGAGAGGGUGAUCCCCCACACUGGUACUGAGACACGGACCAGACUCCUACGGGAGGCAGCAGUGAGGAAUAGUGGACAAUGGGUGAGAGCCUGAUCCAGCCAUCCCGCGUGAAGGACGACGGCCCUAUGGGUGGUAAACUUCUUUUGGAUAGGGAUAAACCUAGAUACGUGUAUCUAGCUGAAGGUACUAUACGAAUAAGCACCGGCUAACUCCGUG